CGGCAUGCUUAACACAUGCAAGUCGAACGGUAACAGGCCUUCGGGCGCUGACGAGUGGCGGACGGGUGAGUAAUACAUGGGAAUCUGCCCUUAGGUGGGGGAUAACGUUGGGAAACUAACGCUAAUACCGCAUAACCUCUUCGGAGCAAAGCGUGGGAUCUUCGGACCACGUGCCAAAGGAUGAGCCCAUGUCUGAUUAGCUAGUUGGUGAGGUAAUGGCUCACCAAGGCGACGAUCAGUAGCCGGCCUGAGAGGGUGGACGGCCACACUGGGACUGAGACACGGCCCAGACUCCUACGGGAGGCAGCAGUGGGGAAUAUUGGACAAUGGGGGCAACCCUGAUCCAGCAAUGCCGCGUGUGUGAAGAAGGCCUGCGGGUUGUAAAGCACUUUUGUUGAGGAAGAAUGUGUUUGGGCUAAUAGUCCAAAUGCUUGACGUUACUCAAAGAAAAAGCACCGGCUAACUCCGUG
rnacentral:rRNA from 1 species